CUUCAACGAGCCAAGCAGCAGAGGCCGUUCCCCGUCCCGUUCCUGGCCGUACGUCGCCAGCAGCGCAUCCGCCUC
rnacentral:antisense_RNA from 1 species